GUGUAGCCAGCAGUGCCAUCCUGACUGUACCCUGUGAGGAGCCGUUGACGGGACGUUACCUCAGGAUACAGGUACCAUGGGUCGUCUCGACGGAUAUGCUGGCGCUGUGUGAAGUUGAAAUCAUGGGGCCCGCUAAGAACAUCAAGUUUGUACAACAGGCAGCCACCAAGGUCUCAGCUGUUAACGCUCUGCUGACGAUGAACUCGACCAAACUUCAGUGUGCAGAUGCAUGUCGUGGGAGGUAUGAUUGUGUCGGCUUCAACUUCUCCCCCUCUUCUGAUGAGUGUCAACUUCUCGAGUCCUACGACCCCUCUGACGCUGUCUCAGAUCCCAGCUGGAACCUCCACACCGCAGACAUGGGAAACAAUUUCUGUUCAUGCGUCGAUAACUGACAUGCAAAGUGCUAAUCACACUAUCUUAACAUUCUACAUGUACAUGGAGGUUUGAUGGAACCAG